UUUCCGUAGGUGAACCUGCGGAAGGAUCAUUACAAAUCGUAUCGUAAAGUCAAAGAAAAGAGGUUUAGCUGUUUUCUUUGAUUUUUUCUGAUAAAUAUUCGCACGAGUGUGGGGAUGUUGAGUUUGAUUUAGUUGAUUUGAUUGAUUAGAUUUAGAUUUAGUUGAUUUGAUUGAUUAGAUUUAGAUUUAGUUGAUUUGAUUCGAUUACAAUCCAACUCACACCCACACCCAUGUCCACGCUUGUUUGUUUGACAGAGUUAAAUUGACAUUUAAAGUAUACAACUUUUAACAACGGAUCUCUAGGCUCUU
rnacentral:misc_RNA from 1 species